CAGGAAAAGAAUACGCAUUUGCGUCAUCACAUAUCUUAAUCUAAUAGUUGAAAUCGAAUGUCAAACGGCUUACAUUAAAUGUUUUGACUCCGGAUGCAUUGACAUUUUAUCCGGAAUUUUUGAGAACGCAAACCGAUAUAUAUAGUGUGCUUUUGAAAUGUUAUCUAUAAUGUGAAUGAAUCAAGACGUGUAGGAUAGUUGGUCAAC
rnacentral:lncRNA from 1 species